rnacentral:rRNA from 1 species
CGUGGGUAACCUGCCCAUCAGAGGGGGAUAACAUUCGGAAACGGAUGCUAAAACCGCAUAGGUCUUCGAACCGCAUGGUUUGAAGAGGAAAAGAGGCGCAAGCUUCUGCUGAUGGAUGGACCCGCGGUGCAUUAGCUAGUUGGUGAGGUAACGGCCCACCAAGGCGAUGAUCAGUAGCCGGUCUGAGAGGAUGAACGGCCACAUUGGGACUGAGACACGGCCCAGACUCCUACGGGAGGCAGCAGUGGGGAAUCUUCCGCAAUGGACGAAAGUCUGACGGAGCAACGCCGCGUGAGUGAUGACGGCCUUCGGGUUGUAAAGCUCUGUUAAUCGGGACGAAAGGCCUUCUUGCGAAUAGUUAGAAGGAUUGACGGUACCGGAAUAGAAAGCCACGGCUAACUACGUGCCAGCAGCCGCGGUAAUACGUAGGUGGCAAGCGUUGUCCGGAAUUAUUGGGCGUAAAGCGCGCGCAGGCGGAUCAGUCAGUCUGUCUUAAAAGU